UACCCGCAGCACAAGUGGUGGUCAUUAUUAUUGGGCCUAAAGCGUCCGUAGCUGGCUUGUUAGAUGCCUGGGUAAAUCGAUGCGCUCAACGUAUCGAAUUCCGGGUAGACCGGCAAGCUCGAGACCGGGAGAGGUGUAGGCUACUCGAGGGGUAGGGGUAAAAUCCUGUAAUCCUUCGGGGAGGACCAGUGGCGAAGGCGCUACACUAGAACGGCUCUGACAGUGAGGGACGAAGCCCUGGGGCGCAAACCAGG
rnacentral:rRNA from 1 species